rnacentral:rRNA from 1 species
ACAGGUGCUGCAUGGCUGUCGUCAGCUCGUGUCGUGAGAUGUUGGUUAAGUCCGCACGAGCGCAACCCUCGCCUUUAGUUGUCCAGCAUUCAGUUAGGCACUCUAAAGAUACUGCCUCGGUUAACGGGGAGGAAGGUGGGGACGACGUCAAGUCCUCAUGGCCUUUAUAUCCAGGGCUACACACGUGCUACAAUGGGUCGUACAAAGGGUCGCCACUCCGUGAGGAGGAGCUAAUCCCAAAAAGCGGCUCUCAGUUCGGAUCGGAGUCUGCAACUCGACUCCGUGAAGUUGGAAUCGCUAGUAACCGUGGAUCAGCAUGCCACGGUGAAUACGUUCCCGGGCCUU